GCCAGACUCCUACGGGAGGCAGCAGUGGGGAAUAUUGCACAAUGGGGGAAACCCUGAUGCAGCGACGCCGCGUGAGCGAUGAAGUAUUUCGGUAUGUAAAGCUCUAUCAGCAGGGAAGAAGAUGACGGUACCUGACUAAGAAGCCCCGGCUAACUACGUGCCAGCAGCCGCGGUAAUACGUAGGGGGCAAGCGUUAUCCGGAUUUACUGGGUGUAAAGGGAGCGUAGACGGCGAUGCAAGCCAGAUGUGAAAGCCCGGGGCCCAACCUCGGGACUGCUCUUGGAACUGCGUGGCUGGAGUGCAGGAGGGGCAGGCGGAAUUCCUGGUGUAGCGGUGAAAUGCGUAGAUAUCAGGAGGAACACCGGUGGCGAAGGCGGCCUGCUGGACUGCAACUGACGUUGAGGCCCGAAAGCGUGGGGAGCAAACAGGAUUAGAUACCCCUGUA
rnacentral:rRNA from 1 species